AUACGUAGGUGGCAAGCGUUAUCCGGAAUUAUUGGGCGUAAAGAGGGAGCAGGCGGCAGCAAGGGUCUGUAGUGAAAGCCUGAAGCUUAACUUCAGUAAGCCAUAGAAACCAGGCAGCUAGAGUGCAGGAGAGGAUCGUGGAAUUCCAUGUGUAGCGGUGAAAUGCGUAGAUAUAUGGAGGAACACCAGUGGCGAAGGCGACGAUCUGGCCGGAAACGGCCGCUCAGUCCCGAAAGCAUGGGGAGCAAAUAGGAUUAGAUACCCUAGUAGUCCACGCCGUAAACGAUGAGUACUAAGUGUUGGAUGUCAAAGUUCAGUGCUGCAGUUAACGCAAUAAGUACUCCGCCUGAGUAGUACGUUCGCAAGAAUGAAACUCAAAUGAAUUGACGGGG
rnacentral:rRNA from 1 species